GAUGAACGCUGACAGAAUGCUUAACACAUCAGCCAUUGAUUGGUGGCGGACGGGUGUGUAACGCGUAUAGACCUUACCUCACAGUUAGGGACAACAUUUGGAAACGAAUGCUAAUACCUAAUACUGUGAGAGAGCUUUGCGUCCCAUUAGCUAGUUGGAGAGGUAACGGCUCACCAAGGCGAUGAUGGGUAGCCGGCCUGAGCGGGUGAUCGGCCACAAGGGGACGGAGACACGGCCCUUACUCCUACGGGGGGAAGAAGUGGGGAAUAUUGGACAAUGGACCAAAGUCAUAUACAGCAAUUCUGUGUGCACGAUGAGGUUGGCGGAAUGUAAAGUGCUUUCAGUUGGGAAGCGGUACCAACAGAAGAAGUGACGGCUAAAUACGUGCCAGCAGCCGCGGUAAUAC
rnacentral:rRNA from 1 species